rnacentral:rRNA from 1 species
UACAGAGGAGCCAAGCGUUGUCCGGAUUUACUGGGCGUAAAGCGCACGCAGGCGGUUGCGUAAGUCAGAUGUGAAAGCCCCGGGCUCAACCUGGGAAUUGCAUUUGAGACUGCGUAGCUAGGGUGCGGAAGAGGGAAGCGGAAUUUCCGGUGUAGCGGUGAAAUGCGUAGAUAUCGGAAGGAACACCAGUGGCGAAAGCGGCUUCCUGGUCCAGCACCGACGUUCAGGCACGAAAGCGUGGGGAGCAAACAGG